rnacentral:sRNA from 1 species
AGACUGAAACCUCAGGGACAACAGCAGUUCAGGUUUUCCCCACACUGCUUUGCCACUGUGCUUCGAACCU